AAAUUGACGGGACCCCGCACAAGCGGUGGAUCAUGUUGUUUAAUUCGAUGAUACGCGAAGAACCUUACCAGGUCUUGACAUCCCCUGCAAAGCUAUGGAGACAUAGUGGAGGUUAUCAGGGAGACAGGUGGUGCAUGGUUGUCGUCAGCUCGUGUCGUGAGAUGUUGGGUUAAGUCCCGCAACGAGCGCAACCCCUAUUGUUAGUUGCCAUCAUUCAGUUGGGCACUCUAGCGAGACUGCCGGUAAUAAACCGGAGGAAGUGGGGAUGACGUCAAAUCAUCAUGCCCCUUAUGACCUGGGCUACACACGUGCUACAAUGGUUGGUACAACGAGUUGCGAGUCGGUGACGGCGAGCUAAUCUCUUAAAGCCAAUCUCAGUUCGGAUUGUAGGCUGCAACUCGCCUACAUGAAGUCGGAAUCGCUAGUAAUCGCGGAUCAGCACGCCGCGGUGAAUACGUUCCCGGGCCUU
rnacentral:rRNA from 1 species